AUGUUCACGGACGGCGGGGAGGACCGAGUGCAGGACGUCUUCGAGAAGUACAACUGGCCCAACAAAACGGUGCGCGUGUUCACCUUCUCCGUCGGGCAGCACAACUACGACGUGACCCCUCUGCAGUGGAUGGCCUGUGCC